CUUAAGUAGAUUUCUCAGCACCAGCAGCCGGCCUAAAUAGUACUUAAUGCAGAGAUUCUUGUUAAGAUUUGCUGCUUGCAGCCAGUCCUAAAAAGGUAAACCAAGCUAAAGGCAGGUGUUGGCUCAGUUAAAGUAAAAUAAAAAAAAAGAAAAAGCCCCCCUUCAUUCCUGCCUUCGUGCACCUGGGCCUCUAAUUUAAAAGCCCCACCCACUAGAAGCCAGCAAAUUUUACAACCUUUCCUCUUUCCUUUCACAUCUUUCUGAAGGAAUAUAUCAUCCAUUGCAACGUGGCGGCAUCACAGGUGUCACUCGCUCUCUUCAGUCGCACUCCGGGCCCUUAAAUAUCAGACGGAGAAGCUGUGGCGCUUUCAAAUGACCCUCUUUCUAUCUCCUCUUUAAUGAUGGAGGAAGAACAGCUACAUCCUGAUUGAUGUUUGUGAAGGCCAGCAGCACCAGGAAUGAUCCUUUCGCCUCUCCCCGGAGCCGGCCUCAGCCUGGCAUCUGCUAAAGGGCACAGGUACACCAUCCUGUGCCCUUGUCCCACCCCCACCUAUUUGAUCCAGGGCCAAGACUGACCCCACAGAGCCUGCCAAGGACCCCCGUUCUGAGGGCCCCGGGCACCAGACUUAGGGGCCCACACUGACUCUUUUGCUUUUUUGAGGCUUUGGGAAGAUUAAUAGGCCUCCUCCGUAGAGCGCCUUUGUGAGGCAGCGCCCAGGCGUGUUCAAGCUGUUGGGUUUGCAGGAGACGAAAGGAGCAGCGGCUAAUUCCUCUGCAGGUGACGGCCUUUGAUUCUCGUCAUGUCACGCCUCCAAUAGUGCAGCCACCAAUGACAGCCUCUUUCACCCUCUCCCUCUCCCACUCACACAUACAGACACACACAUACAUAUACUUCAGGCUUGCUCCAGGUGCCAGAGUGUGAAGGGAUCAGCCAAUCCCAGGACUCGUCUGAAGCUGGAUGGUGGCCAUCGUGUUAUUAAAAGCUACGGCACCGGCUUCCAGCAUCACCAUGGCAACUUCCAAUCAGCGAGGAUGGUGGAGCCUGCCGGCCGUGUGUUUGGCGCGAGGCUCUGAGAGGCGCAGGUGGAGCACAUAUGGAACAAUGGCCUAGCUAAAAAAAAAAAAAAGAAACACCCUGCCCGCCUGUAUGUGCCAGCAGUGCCCAUUUUAAUCCCACCGUUACCUUCUAGUGCUCUCUGAUGGAGACGUUCGGCUGCAAUCACAGCCUCAGACUGCUGCUGGGCCCAUGCCAGACUUCACUUGACAAAGCCAGGCCUGGUGUGCUUUUGUAAAACAAUGUCUCCAAAAGUCGUGAAUUCAACAUCUCUCCAUCAUUUCCUGUCCUCGCUGUUAUUUACUGGAACAUCAGUGACCUUGGCUGAUCUUCAAGCCAAAAUUUCCCCUCCAUUUACUGCGUUUUUAUUAGCUUACCUCCACCUGAAAGCAGGUUUUACUGUAUGUUGUAUACAUUGACGGCCAUAUUGAGCGUUAAUGACUUUUGUGCCUCAUAUGGCUUGUAAUGUUAUGGAAAUCACUAGCAUGUGCAGUAAAUAAAUCAAUCAUCCAAGGGGCCUUAUCUAUCAUUGCACAUUUAAGCAGUCAGCUCCUAUGUAGGUUAAUUAAAGCACAAUGGCCGAGGAGAGGACCUGGCACCCGUCCUGCUUAUGUUUAAGCCUUCUCUAGGCCCGCUGGGCUGGAGCUUUCUACAGCCAGAUGAAAUUUGCCCAUUUUAUC